UACGAAGGGGGCUAGCGUUGUUCGGAUUUACUGGGCGUAAAGCGCACGUAGGCGGAUCGUUAAGUCGGGGGUGAAAUCCUGGAGCUCAACUCCAGAACUGCCUUCGAUACUGGCGAUCUUGAGUCCGGAAGAGGUGAGUGGAACUCCUAGUGUAGAGGUGGAAUUCGUAGAUAUUAGGAAGAACACCAGUGGCGAAGGCGGCUCACUGGUCCGGUACUGACGCUGAGGUGCGAAAGCGUGGGAG
rnacentral:rRNA from 1 species